UCCUCUGGGGAGGGCUUCCCUAGAGACUUCAGCGAAAAUUCCUGAUGGCUGAACCAAAGAUCUAACUCCUCCACAUAGCCAUGUAUGCCCUUGGACCAAUCUCCUGAGGACUGACUGCUUUCUACAAACAUGCAACAUGGACAGAGGUUGUGUGAAGAAAAUUUCUCAGGCUAUACCCACCAUGAAAAGGAUACCCAGUUUACUCAACACUUAUUCUGGGCUGUGCGCUACAUCGUCACUUUCCUAACAAUUCUUCCCCAGAUCUCUACAAUGCCUCUAAGAAGCCGGCCAUGCUCACCAAUUCCCGGCAACCACAAAGCCUCAUCCCAGCGCUGGAAGGCUCAGGUUCAAGGUGCAGGAUCCCGCUGUCAAUCAGGCCAGGCUGCCAAUGAGGCUCCCCGAGUGCAGCGUCUGAGACAAAGCUCUUUCUGGAUCAGCAGUUCCGUGAACUAGAAAGACAGGUCAUUUGCAUGCACGGCCUAUGACAGGAGAAACACUCAGAGGAGGACAGUGAUGGAGGCUGGCUUGUCUGGGAGUAUCCAGGACGGAGGCUAGACAAAACUUCCUUAGAGGAGCCUAGCACUGACCAUGGACUGGGUAGGAAUUUUGCCUUAGGACAUGAUUCUCAUUCAAACCUCAUCUCUGUCCUUGAGUGUAGGGGACAGUGGGAAUGUCACUUAGGACUCUGUUCCCUUCUCCUUAGGACAAAAUAAUGAUUUUUACUUUGUAGGACUUGUGGUGUUGAAAUGAAGCAUUGUAUUUGAGAUUGUUCAGCAGAGUACUGGGUAUGAAUGGCAUCUCUCAUUUAUGAUAAAUUGAGCAUAAUGAUGUUUAUUUUGUGGAGUGAAUACAAGACCUAAAAUACA